GAUGAACGCUGGCGGCGUGCCUAAUACAUGCAAGUCGAGCGAACGGACGAGAAGCUUGCUUCUCUGAUGUUAGCGGCGGACGGGUGAGUAACACGUGGAUAACCUACCUAUAAGACUGGGAUAACUUCGGGAAACCGUAGCUAAUACCGGAUAAUAUUUUGAACCGCAUGGUUCAAAAGUGAAAGACGGUCUUGCUGUCACUUAUAGAUGGAUCCGCGCUGCAUUAGCUAGUUGGUAAGGUAACGGCUUACCAAGGCAACGAUGCAUAGCCGACCUGAGAGGGUGAUCGGCCACACUGGGACUGAGACGCGGUCCAGACUCCUACGGGAGGCAGCAGUAGGGAAUCUUCCGCAAUGGGCGAAAGCCUGACGGAGCAACGCCGCGUGAGUGAUGAAGGUCUUCGGAUCGUAAAACUCUGUUAUUAGGGAAGAACAUAUGUGUAAGUAACUGUGCACAUCUUGACGGUACCUAAUCAGAAAGCCACGGCUAACUACGUG
rnacentral:rRNA from 1 species